AUCAGCAUCUGAACCAAUGCCAAUUGGUUUUAUCAGGCGGUCAUCGGGACUGGGCGUGGGGCAUCAACAUCAUCAUCGAGCGCCCGAAGUGCAAGAUAUGAAGACGCAAUAGCCGCCAUUCUACAAAAAAGUAGUUCUCGGCCAGAACGAAAAUCGAACUACAAAAGUUUGGGAAAUCAUGGUGAGUCAGCUGGAAUAACUGAGUCCCAUCGAGGCAGCUGAAGCUAUGGCUGUGUCGCAACAAGUGCUUUCGAAACAAGUGAUCCCGUCACUGCCGGGAAAAGCCACAAAUUCCCGGUCAUCAAUUUAAAGUUCCGCGGAAGGAAGUGAUAUCAUUCACAAUGCAAUGAUAAAUCCCGAUUUAUUCGAUGAAUUCGUUUAAAAUCCUUCAUAUAUAUACGUACAUAUGUGUACAUAUCUAAGAUUAAUUAAAUAAAUAAUAUAAAAUAAAACAAAAGCAAAGCAAGUUACAUUGA